rnacentral:rRNA from 1 species
GAUGAACGCUGGCGGUAUGCUUAACACAUGCAAGUCGAACAGUCUUUUCGGAGACAGUGGCGGACGGGUGAGUAACGCGUAAGAAUCUACCUUCAGGGUCGGGGACAACCACUGGAAACGGUGGCUAAUACCGGAUGUGCCGAGAGGUGAAAGGCUUGCUGCCUGAAGAAGAGCUUGCGUCUGAUUAGCUAGUUGGUGGUGUAAGAGACUACCAAGGCGACGAUCAGUAGCUGGUCUGAGAGGAUGAUCAGCCACACUGGGACUGAGACACGGCCCAGACUCCUACGGGAGGCAGCAGUGGGGGAAUUUUCCGCAAUGGGCGAAAGCCUGACGGAGCAAUACCGCGU